UAAUAUGACUCCGCCGUUGAC
rnacentral:piRNA from 1 species